UAACAGACCAAUUUGAGCAAGUGCUUCGGUUUCGUCAGUUAUGACAAUCCUGUGUCAGCGCAGGCCGCCAUUCAGGCGAUGAACGGGUUUCAGAUCGGCAUGAAGCGUCUCAAAGUCCAGCUCAAGCGCUCGAAGAACGACAGCAAACCGUACUGAUCUUAGCACUAGGGCCUCUCUCAUGUUACACUGCUAGGAACUCAUCUCCAUGACUCUAUGCUCAUCGUUUGCCUAGCAUGUCUACGUGGCGUACAAAAAAAAAAAGUCUCAUCGUCCCGUCAUUAUUUCUGAUGUCUUUCUGAGUUCUCCUGCUCAUAAUCUGGUCUCCUUUUACUGAUCUUUGUACUUUGAUCUUAGCCUGAUCUUUUUUUUGGAAAAGUUUCGCAUGUGAC